AUUGAACGCUGGCGGCAGGCCUAACACAUGCAAGUCGAGCGGAUGAAGGGUGCUUGCUCCUGGAUUCAGCGGCGGACGGGUGAGUAAUGCCUAGGAAUCUGGCUGGGAGUGGGGGAUAACGUCCGGAAACGGGCGCUAAUACCGCAUACGUCCUGAGGGAGAAAGUGGGGGAUCUUCGGACCUCACGCUAUCAGAUGAGCCUAGGUCGGAUUAGCUAGUUGGUGGGGUAAAGGCCUACCAAGGCGACGAUCCGUAACUGGUCUGAGAGGAUGAUCAGUCACACUGGAACUGAGACACGGUCCAGACUCCUACGGGAGGCAGCAGUGGGGAAUAUUGGACAAUGGGCGAAAGCCUGAUCCAGCCAUGCCGCGUGUGUGAAGAAGGUCUUCGGAUUGUAAAGCACUUUAGGUUGGGAGGAAAGGCAGUAAGUUAAUACCUUGCUGUUUUGACGUUACCAACAGAAUAAGCACCGGCUAACUUCGUG
rnacentral:rRNA from 1 species